rnacentral:misc_RNA from 1 species
GAUGAAGAACGUAGCGAAAUGCGAUAAGUAAUGUGAAUUGCAGAAUUCAGUGAAUCAUCGAGUCUUUGAACGCACAUUGCGCCCCCUGGUAUUCCGGGGGGCAUGCCUGUCCGAGCGUCAUUGCCGCCCUCAAGCACGGCUUGUGUGUUGGGCCCCCGCCCCCCGGCUUCGGGGGGCGGGCCCGAAAGGCAGCGGCGGCACCGCGUCCGGUCCUCGAGCGUAUGGGGCUUCGUCACCCGCUCUGUAGGCCCGGCCGGCGCCCGCCGGCGACCCCAAUCAAUCUUUCCAGGUUGACCUCGGAUCAAGUAGUGAUACCCGCUGAACUUAAGCAUAUCAAUAAGCGGAGGA